rnacentral:rRNA from 1 species
GAUGAACGCUGGCGGCGUGCCUAAUACAUGCAAGUCGAGCGAACAGACGAGGAGCUUGCUCCUCUGACGUUAGCGGCGGACGGGUGAGUAACACGUGGAUAACCUACCUAUAAGACUGGGAUAACUUCGGGAAACCGGAGCUAAUACCGGAUAAUAUAUUGAACCGCAUGGUUCAAUAGUGAAAGACGGUUCUGCUGUCACUUAUAGAUGGAUCCGCGCCGCAUUAGCUAGUUGGUAAGGUAACGGCUUACCAAGGCAACGAUGCGUAGCCGACCUGAGAGGGUGAUCGGCCACACUGGAACUGAGACACGGUCCAGACUCCUACGGGAGGCAGCAGUAGGGAAUCUUCCGCAAUGGGCGAAAGCCUGACGGAGCAACGCCGCGUGAGUGAUGAAGGUCUUCGGAUCGUAAAACUCUGUUAUUAGGGAAGAACAAAUGUGUAAGUAACUAUGCACGUCUUGACGGUACCUAAUCAGAAAGCCACGGCUAACUACGU